UGGGGAAUCUUGCGCAAUGGGCGAAAGCCUGACGCAGCGACGCCGCGUGAGGGAAGAAGGCCUUCGGGUUGUAAACCUCUUUCAGGAGGGACGAAGCCACUCGGGUUAAUAGCCCAGAGGGUGACGGUACCUCCAGAAGAAGCCCCGGCUAACUACGUGCCAGCAGCCGCGGUAAUACGUAGGGGGCAAGCGUUGUCCGGAUUUAUUGGGCGUAAAGAGCGUGUAGGCGGCCAGAUAGGUCGGUUGUGAAAACUGGAGGCUUAACCUCCAGACGUCGACCGAAACCAUCUGGCUAGAGUCCGGAAGAGGAGAGUGGAAUUCCUGGUGUAGCGGUGAAAUGCGCAGAUAUCAGGAAGAACACCCGUGGCGAAAGCGGCUCUCUGGGACGGUACUGACGCUGAGACGCGAAAGCGUGGGGAGCGAACAGGAUUAGAUACCCCCGUAGUCC
rnacentral:rRNA from 1 species